UGCGGAGGAUGCAAGCGUUAUCCGGAAUGAUUGGGCGUAAAGCGUCCGCAGGUGGCUGUGUAAGUCUGCUGUCAAAGAGCAAAGCUCAACUUUGUAAAGGCAGUGGAAACUACACGGCUAGAGUGCGUUCGGGGCAGAGGGAAUUCCUGGUGUAGCGGUGAAAUGCGUAGAGAUCAGGAAGAACACCGGUGGCGAAGGCGCUCUGCUAGGCCGCAACUGACACUGAGGGACGAAAGCUAGGGGAGCGAAUGGG
rnacentral:rRNA from 1 species